GACGACGCUGGCGGCGUGCCUAUACAUGCAAGUCGAGCGGACAGAAGGGAGCUUGCUCCCGGAUGUUAGCGGCGGACGGGUGAGUAACACGUGGGUAACCUGCCUGUAAGACUGGGAUAACUCCGGGAAACCGGAGCUAAUACCGGAUAGUUCCUUGAACCGCAUGGUUCAAGGAUGAAAGACGGUUUCGGCUGUCACUUACAGAUGGACCCGCGGCGCAUUAGCUAGUUGGUGGGGUAAUGGCUCACCAAGGCGACGAUGCGUACCCGACCUGAGAGGGUGAUCGGCCACACUGGGACUGAGACACGGCCCCUACUCCUACGGGAGGCAGCAGGGAAGCUUCUUCCGUGGGGGACAGUCUGACGACGGAACACCGCCGGAAUGAUGAAGGUUUUCGGAUCGUAAAGCUCUGUUGUUAGGGAAGAACAAGUGCGAGAGUAACUGCUCGCACCUUGACGGUACCUAACCAGAAAGCCACGGCUAACUACGUGCCAGCAGCCGCGGUAAUACGUAGGUGACAAGCGUUGUCCGGAAUUAUUGGGCGUAAAGGGCUCGCAGGCAGUUUCUUAAGUCUGAUGUGAAAGCCCCCGGCUCACCGGGGAGGGUUAUUGGAAACUGGGAAACUUGACUGCAGAGAGGGGAUUGGAAUUCCCCUGGUACCGGGGAAUGGGAAAAGAUGGGAGGACCCCUGGGCGAAGCGACUUCCUGGCCUGAACGACCUGAGAGCAACCGUGGGACGCACAGGAUAGAUCCUGAACCCGCCUACCUGGGGUGUAAUGGUAAGGGGUUCCCCCUUAGGUGCAGUAACUUACCCCCCCGGGAGAAGGUCCAAAAUCGACCAAGGUGGGGGGCCCCAACAGGGGCC
rnacentral:rRNA from 1 species